UACGUAGGCGGCGCCGUCAGUCGGGUGUGAAAGCCCUCGGCUCAACCGAGGAACUGCGCCCGAUACUGCGGUGCUUGAGGGAGACAGAGGUAAGCGGAACUGAUGGUGGAGCGGUGAAAUGCGUUGAUAUCAUCAGGAACACCGGUGGCGAAAGCGGCUUACUGGGUCUCUUCUGACGCUGAGGUACGAAAGCUAGGGGAGCGAACG
rnacentral:rRNA from 1 species